rnacentral:rRNA from 1 species
AUUGAACGCUGGCGGCAUGCCUUACACAUGCAAGUCGAACGGUAACGGGCCUUCGGGUGCCGACGAGUGGCAAACGGGUGAGUAAUGUAUCGGAACGUACCUUUCAGUGGGGGAUAACGUAGCGAAAGUUACGCUAAUACCGCAUAUUCUGUGAGCAGGAAAGCAGGGGAUCGCAAGACCUUGCGCUGAUUGAGCGGCCGAUAUCAGAUUAGCUAGUUGGUGAGGUAAAGGCUCACCAAGGCGACGAUCUGUAGCGGGUCUGAGAGGAUGAUCGGCCACACUGGAACUGAGACACGGUCCAGACUCCUACGGGAGUCAGCAGUGGGGAAUUUUGGACAAUGGGGGCAACCCUGAUCCAGCCAUGCCGCGUGAGUGAAGAAGGCCUUCGGGUUGUAAAGCUCUUUCGGCCGGGAAGAAAUCGUAUCAGCUAAUACCUGGUGCGGAUGACGGUACCGGCAUAAGAAGCACCGGCUAACUACGUGCCAGCCGCCGCAGUAAAAC